GGGCUUGUAGCUCAGGUGGUUAGAGCGCUACACUGAUAAUGUAGAGGUCCCUGGUUCGAGUCCAGGCAGGCCCACCG
rnacentral:tRNA from 1 species